GUCUCUGCGAAGGUCGUUUCCAUCUUUGCAGUCAUAGAACAGUCCGUCACUUCGCGCGGGGUUACUUUGGGCUGCGCGCAGAAGUUUCGGGGCCGCAACAGCGCGCUGGCGAGCGGGGGACCCCCGCGCCUCCCGGGUGGGGGGGGCGGCCCUGGGCUAGAGGAAAGUUUCUGGAGGGGCGCGCGCUCCCGCCGGCGGUCCUCCCCCCGCGCCCCGCUCACCGGCUCCGGCCGCCGCCGCGCUCCUCCUGGGUCAGCUGGCGCGCGCGCUGCCCGCCUCGGGGAAAAGUCGCGGUCACCCACGGGGCGCGCUCGGGGCGCUCUCGGGGCGCGGCGGCUCCCGGGGGCCCGCGGGCCCGCCCCCGCGGCGACAGGGGGAGGGGGCGCCGGGCAGCCGCGGCUCGCGCUCGCCCAAGUUCAGCCACCGGGGCGAGGGGCGCCGAGCGCACGUCCCUCCGCGGUCUCCUCGCUCCGCCGCCGCCUCUCUCGUCCCGGCCGCCGCCGCCGCCGCCGCCGCCGCCGCCGCCGCAGCCUCAGGCGCGGCAGAGCUUUGCAAAAGUUCGCUCCGGGACCCGGGCCACUCGUCCCCUGUGCUCCCGGCCAGGAAAGUUCUGAGCCGCCGCAGCCACUCUCUGCACUUGCGCGGACGGACCGUCGCCGCUCUCCGCGCUGUCACGGCUCCCGGGCGGCGGGGCUCUCCUCCCGGGGGCGGCUGGAGAAGGGGGUUCUCCGGGCGCUCCCCGAAACACCAGCCCGGGAGCCACAGGCGCUAGCUCCGGCCAGUCGGCGAGGAAAAUGCAAAACGGAAAGCGGAUUUUGCAGCCCGGACUCUCCGGCCGUCUCGCCUGCCCGCGGCCGCCCGCCUCCCCGAGUCCGCGCUCCUCCACUCCCACCUCGCCGCCUCGGCCACACUCAGUGCAACUCUGAGCCCUUAUCCAGCCGGAGCUCAACACUUAUCUGCUACCAGUCAACCCCUAAAAAUAGCCCAUGAUGUCACCCCAAGGCCUUCCCAUUGGCUCGCGUCGCUCUCCAGGGGGCGGGCCCGCCCGUCGCCAUGGAGACCCCACCCUAGAAGAUUCUUCUCCGGCCCCGCGGAGGCUCACGGGAUGAGGUAAUGCUCCGCUGCCCUCCUACAGUUGGGCCCUUCUUUCUCCUCCUCCCCCUCCCCCUCCCUGUCUCAAAUAGGACUACCUCUCGUCAUGUGACACCAAUUGUCU
rnacentral:lncRNA from 12 species